GAUUGUUACACGGUCAUACACUAAAGUUGGAAUGGUACACACAAGAUUAGCAUGGGCGCUGCACAAGGACCACAUGCACAUUCAAGAAGCAUUCCAUAUUUUA